ACCUGCCACGCGCGCGCCGCCUGGAAGCUCUGCAUGACCAGAGGUGCAGCCCGCGCCCGCGCCCCGAGGGGCUCCCGCGACGGGGCGGGGCGGGGCUGUGUCUGUGUGCGACCCCUGCCGCCCGGCGUCCCAAGCCCAGUGCCCGUGGAUGGCAAAUCCAAAGGCCUUUGAACGCCCGGAGCGCCGAGUGGCUUCAGCGCGCUAUGCGUGCGAUCCUGGGCAAGCUCCUCCACCCCUGCGCAGGGCGGGUCCUCUCGGGCCGAGGACAGUUCCCGCAUCGGGGGGCUGUGGGAGUCACCGCUCUGCUCGCGGGAGGAAAAGCCGUGUGACUCAGUGCGCGCCGGUAGCAAAUCUGAAGUCCUGGCCACACGCUCACCUCCCGCCCGCCCCGACGGGGACGCCUAAGAUCACUGAGCUGGGGAGCGGCCGUCGGGGCCGAGCGUCCUGGGCCCGACGGGACUGCGGGCUCCCUGGUGUGAACAGAAGGUGCAGGCCCCAGCCUCCCCCCGCCGCCCGGCCCGCCUUCGGAGAGGAGCCGGGAGCUCCGAGGGCCCGAGGGGAGCAGCGGGCACCGUCGGCGCGUCUGCCUCCACCCUCCCCUCCUGAGCCCUGGGAGAGGCGGGUGGCGCCGGGAGGCGGGAGGCUGGACCCAGCGGGUCUGGGCGCAAAAGUCGUCGGUGUCCCAGCUUUAACUUCCAGUGAGGAGCCACGUCUCCUGAGGGCAGAGCCGGCCUCCCGAGGCCAGCCAGGCGGCCGAGCCGGGCUCCCUGCCGAGUGUCCGCACUCAAAACGGGCCUCCUGCACCGCGCCGCGUCCCCGGGAAGGACGGGGCUGGAGGGACGGGGCCGCGCGGCUCCACGGGCCUGUCCGCAGCUGCGGGCUCUCCAGAGCUGGGAGCAGCCAGACCUGCCUCUCCAGAAAGGGCGGGGAAGAGGCCCCGCGGCCCUUGGACCCCGCCGCUGCCUCUCCGCCUGGCUCCGAGAAGAAGCUGGGGUCUGAGAGCAUCAGCAGCUACAUGGGCCAGAGGCGGCAGACCUUCCUCAUCCAGUACGCCCUAGAUAUGAAGCGGAGGGAGAUCCAGCGGCUGGAGGUGCUGGCCACCAAGGAGGAGGCGGCUCUGGAGCGCGCCGAGAGGUCCCUGGAGAACGACGCAGCGCUGUUCGACGAGUUCCUCCGGGAGAACGACCGCAGCUCCGUGCAGGCCCUGAGAGCGGCUGAGAAGGAAACCAAAGCAAAGGUGGAGAAAAUCAUCGAGAUCCGAGACCUGACCACCCAGAUCAUGAAUAUCAAAAGUGAAAUCUCCAAAUUCGAAGACACACUGCAGCAUUACAAGGCCUACAAGGAUUUCCUGUACAAGCUGUCGCCCAAGGACUGGCUGGAAGAGCAGAAGUGCUUGGCUCUCAAAAAGGCCAAGGAGAGGGCCGAGGCCUCCAAAGACAGCACUCUGUCCUCCACACUAGGGGACAAAGGUCCAGGGAUCAAGGGCAAGACCAGCCCCAGAGACGGGCAGGGCCCAAAGAAGUCCUGGAAGAUUCUGCAGAUUAUGCGGCUAGGGCAGAUGCUGUCCAGCAACGCCAGCCUCCAGUCAGGCAGCCAGUCCAGCGGGACUAGUGGGCUGGAACCCAAAGGCUCCUCCAGCACCCACUGGACAGCCAAGGACCUCUCAAACAUCUUCUGGAUUUCUUCCCGCAGUGCUGCUGAGAACACCCUGUCUUCUCCAGCCGUGAUGAGUGCCACAGGACAGACCUCCUCCUGCCCCCAGCCAGCCUCCACCCCGUCAUCUCACUCCUCCAGCUCAGCCCGCCAAGCCCUAGCAUGUGACAGGUCAAGCUCUGCCCUCCCUGUGCAGGAGGACCCGGACAGCGACGGGGAGGAGCUGGCGCUGUACUUCACGGAGCCCCAGCAGCUCCUGGACGUCUUCACGGAGCUGGAGGAGCAGAACCUCUCACUGAUCCAGAACACGCAGGAGAUGGAGGAGGCCUUGGAGGAGCUGAGGUUCAACCUGAAAACCACCCAGAUCCGCAUGGACAGGGAGGUCAACCAGCUGAAGCAGUGGAUCACCACGCUGAUGAUGUCCAUCACCAAGGAGGAGGAGACAGCCGCCGAGCUGGAGCUCAAAGCCCGAGUCUUCCACUUCGGCGAGUACAAGGGUGCUCAGGAGGACAAGCUGCUGGAGAGCCUGAACCACAAGGUGCUGGACGUGUACCGGCAGUGCGUCGGUGCCCAGCAGGAGUCCAACCUGGGCACUGUGCAGAUGCUGACCGUCAUCGAGCACCAGCUGGACGAGCUGCUUGAGAACCUGGAGCGUGUGCCCCAGGCCAAGAUCGAACAGGCCGAGAAGGCCAAGGAGAAGGAGCGGCGCCUGAAACUCCGGGAAGAGAAGGUCAAGAUGCAGAAGCAGCUUCAGGAAGAGCGUCUACAGCGGGCCCGGGCUCGGGCCCAGGCCGAGAUCAAGAAGAAGAGAGGCAGAAGACUGGUGUGCCGCUCCCGGCCCCCGGCUCUGAAAACCAAGAAGGAGCCUGAGCACGUGCUGAUGGACAAGGACAAGGAGGAGCAGCUGUUCUUCUUCACCUAGCCUGCCGGGCCGCCGGCCUGGCUCACGGCGCAGGAGACACGACGGCAGGAAGCAGAGACAGGCUGCGCCCCAGGCCUCCUGCUCCUCAAGAACCUUCUGUGUCAAGCACCAAGCACUCCCAUUUUACAGAUGAUACAACCAAAGCCCAGACUGCUUAACUAACUUGCUCAAGACUACACUAGCUGGUAAGGAGAAAGGAAAGACUUAAAACCCAGAUUUUCUGCCUCAAAGCUUACAGCUUUAAUUGGGUGUUUCUUAAAAAAAUAACUGCUACUCCCUUUCCAACUAGCUCCUUUUCUGCCAAUGGUACCAGCUUUCCUGCCGUCUCCAUUUCAAAACCCUCUGGUCCUGCCUUUCCCACUUCUGACCUGCCAGUUGUGACCACAUCCAGAAAGGCUGGGAUGGGUCCCCCCUAACCUUGCCCACCCCUACCUUGGGAGAAUCCUUUAUCUCUUUAUUGCUCCAACCCCCUGGCCCCAAACCUGGAAAGAAGGAACAUGUUUCCUACUCAUCUAUGCAGACAAACCUUCCCGAGUUCUGCCCCAACCAAAUCCUCACACCUGCUUCUGGUUUUCUACCAGAGUGAGGCCACUCACUGAGCCCGGCUUCCAGGCCCUCCACCUAUGC